GUAAACAAACUCGAGCUCGAAGACGCACACUGUACGAUGUCGCAUUUAGUCUAUUCUAAAGCAGUCCAGAAACAUACAUGGGCGAUUCAUUAGAAGUAAAACGGCAGUUAUAGAUCAGUCUGCAUCCGAUAUUCUCACAGCUACAUCCAUAAUUGGUAACCACAGUGAGAGGGAUGAGUUGUGCUAUCAUCAUAUGAAGAACCAUACCAGGAAGUGCAGAUUUCUUUCUCAUGGCCACAUGGAAGUUGACUGUUAAAAGUAGUUUCUGGAUACUAACUCAAAUACUUUGCAUUCUAUUCAAACCAAAUUUGGACAUAUGGAUACCUACAAAGACGGGAAGAUGCCUAUCAAUUUUGGGGUGAGGUCAAAGAUCAAGGUCACAGUGCAUGGAAAUUAGAAAAUGCUGAUGCGGGGGCAUAUGUUUUACACAUUCUGUAGUUAUAAAUGAAUUAGUAUUGUAUAUAUGCAUAUAUUAUUUAUGUUUUCUGAUUAUUUAUCAUAUAAUGUAAUAAAUAUAUAGAAUUUGUAAAUAUGAAUUGAAAAAUACACAUUUUAUAAAAAAUCGUAUAUUGUUAUUGUUUAGAAUGUAUGUUAGUGUAAGAAGGGGGGUGGGGACACAAAAUGGUUCAAAUCUUUGUUCCAAUGCACACUACCCCACACAUUUUUUUAAUUUAAAUUAAGCAAAAAUAUGAUUCAAAUCUACAUUAGUAAUUUCAGAAAAAGUUUGAUACAGAUAUUCUCCCUAGGUUGAAUUUUUUUAUGAAAUAGGUCUUCAAAUUUGUGUGAUAUUUUAUGCAAUUAUAUUAAUUAAUACUUGAUUUUUUGUAGAAUUGGUAAUGUAUUUUAUGUAAAAGUUAUUGAAAUUAUCAAUUAUGCUUAAUUUUCAUAUAAUAAAAGAAAGCCAAGAUUA